rnacentral:rRNA from 1 species
AUUGAACGCUGGCGGCAUGCUUUACACAUGCAAGUCGAACGGCAGCGCGGGGGCAACCCUGGCGGCGAGUGGCGAACGGGUGAGUAAUGCAUCGGAACGUAUCCUGUAAUGGGGGAUAACGUAGCGAAAGUUACGCUAAUACCGCAUACGCUCGAGAGAGGAAAGUGGGGGAUCGCAAGACCUCACGUUAUAGGAGCGGCCGAUGUCCGAUUAGCUAGUUGGUGGGGUAAAGGCCUACCAAGGGGACGAUCGGUAGCUGGUCUGAGAGGAUGAUCAGCCACACUGGGACUGAGACACGGCCCAGACUCCUACGGGAGGCAGCAGUGGGGAAUUUUGGACAAUGGGCGAAAGCCUGAUCCAGCCAUGCCGCGUGCGGGAAGAAGGCCUUCGGGUUGUAAACCGCUUUAGUCCGGGAAAAAGGGGUGCGAGGAUAAUACCGUCGUGCUUUGAUGGUACUGGAAGAAUAAGCACCGGCUAACUACGUGCCAGCAGCCGCGGUAAUACGUAGGGUGCGAGCGUUAAUCGGAAUUACUGGGCGUAAAGCGUGCGCAGGCGGUCUUGUAAGACAGUCGUGAAAGCCCCGGGCUUAACCUGGGAACUGCGAUUGUGACUGCAAGGCUAGAGUGUGUCAGAGGGGGGUGGAAUUCCACGUGUAGCAGUGAAAUGCGUAGAGAUGUGGAGGAACACCGAUGGCGAAGGCAGCCCCCUGGGAUAACACUGACGCUCAUGCACGAAAGCUUGGGGAGCAAACAGGAUUAGAUACCCUGGUAGUCCAUGCCCUAAACGAUGUCAACUGGUUGUUGGA